rnacentral:rRNA from 1 species
UACAGAGGGUGCAAGCGUUAAUCGGAAUUACUGGGCGUAAAGCGUGCGUAGAUGGUUAUUUAAGUCAGGUGUGAAAGCCCCGGGCUCAAUCUGGGAAUUGCAUUUGAGACUGAAUAGCUAGGGUGCGGAAGAGGGAAGCGGAAUUUCCGGUGUAGCGGUGAAAUGCGUAGAUAUCGGAAGGAACACCAGUGGCGAAAGCGGCUUCCUGGUCCAGCACCGACGUUCAGGCACGAAAGCGUGGGGAGCAAACAGG